rnacentral:rRNA from 1 species
CCACCACUAAGCCAGUGGUGAACUCCACAUCCGCAUCCUUUGCUGAGGAUACGGUUAACGGAGCGAAAGCGACGUUCAACCGCAAAACAAGCAGAGGGGGCUUAGUGGUGGGGUGACUGCGUACCUUUUGUAUAAUGGGUCAGCGACUUAUAUUCUGUAGCAAGGUUAACCGUAUAGGGGAGCCGGAGGGAAACCGAGUCUUAAUUGGGCGUUAAGUUGCAGGGUAUAGACCCGAAACCCGGUGAUCUAGCCAUGGGCAGGUUGAAGGUUGGGUAACACUAACUGGAGGACCGAACCGACUAAUGUUGAAAAAUUAGCGGAUGACCUGUGGCUGGGGGUGAAAGGCCAAUCAAACCGGGAGAUAGCUGGUUCUCCCCGAAAGCUAUUUAGGUAGCGCCUCGUGAAUUCAUCUCCGGGGGUAGAGCACUGUUUCGGCUAGGGGGCCAUCCCGGCUUACCAACCCGAUGCAAACUGCGAAUACCGGAGAAUGUUAUCACGGGAGACACACGGCGGGUGCUAACGUCCGUCGUGAAGAGGGAAACAACCCAGACCGCCAGCUAAGGUCCCAAAGUCAUGGUUAAGUGGGAAACGAUGUGGGAAGGCCCAGACAGCCAGGAUGUUGGCUUAGAAGCAGCCAUCAUUUAAAGAAAGCGUAAUAGCUCACUGGUCGAGUCGGCCUGCGCGGAAGAUGUAACGGGGCUAAACCAUGCACCGAAGCUGCGGCAGCGAACGUAUCACCCAAGACAACUUUACGGAGUUGACGAUUGACGGAGCGAAGCGACGUCAAAGCGUUCAUUAAAGUCGAGUUGGCUUAGGGAUACGUUCGUUGGGUAGGGGAGCGUUCUGUAAGCCUGUGAAGGUGUGUCGUGAGGCAUGCUGGAGGUAUCAGAAGUGCGAAUGCUGACAUAAGUAACGAUAAAGCGGGUGAAAAGCCCGCUCGCCGGAAGACCAAGGGUUCCUGUCCAACGUUAAUCGGGGCAGGGUGAGUCGACCCCUAAGGCGAGGCCGAAAGGCGUAGUCGAUGGGAAACGGGUUAAUAUUCCCGUACUUGGUGUUACUGCGAAGGGGGGACGGAGAAGGCUAUGUUGGCCGGGCGACGGUUGUCCCGGUUUAAGCGUGUAGGUGUGUGUUCCAGGUAAAUCCGGUUCACUUUAACACUGAGGCGUGACGACGAGGCACUACGGUGCUGAAGCAACAAAUGCCCUGCUUCCAGGAAAAGCCUCUAAGCAUCAGGUAACAUCAAAUCGUACCCCAAACCGACACAGGUGGUCAGGUAGAGAAUACCAAGGCGCUUGAGAGAACUCGGGUGAAGGAACUAGGCAAAAUGGUGCCGUAACUUCGGGAGAAGGCACGCUGACACGUAGGUGAAGUGAUUUACUCAUGGAGCUGAAGUCAGUCGAAGAUACCAGCUGGCUGCAACUGUUUAUUAAAAACACAGCACUGUGCAAACACGAAAGUGGACGUAUACGGUGUGACGCCUGCCCGGUGCCGGAAGGUUAAUUGAUGGGGUCAGCGCAAGCGAAGCUCCUGAUCGAAGCCCCGGUAAACGGCGGCCGUAACUAUAACGGUCCUAAGGUAGCGAAAUUCCUUGUCGGGUAAGUUCCGACCUGCACGAAUGGCGUAAUGAUGGCCAGGCUGUCUCCACCCGAGACUCAGUGAAAUUGAACUCGCUGUGAAGAUGCAGUGUACCCGCGGCAAGACGGAAAGACCCCGUGAACCUUUACUAUAGCUUGACACUGAACAUUGAGCCUUGAUGUGUAGGAUAGGUGGGAGGCUUUGAAGUGUGGACGCCAGUCUGCAUGGAGCCGACCUUGAAAUACCACCCUUUAAUGUUUGAUGUUCUAACGUGGACCCGUAAUCCGGGUUGCGGACAGUGUCUGGUGGGUAGUUUGACUGGGGCGGUCUCCUCCUAAAGAGUAACGGAGGAGCACGAAGGUUGGCUAAUCCUGGUCGGACAUCAGGAGGUUAGUGCAAUGGCAUAAGCCAGCUUGACUGCGAGCGUGACGGCGCGAGCAGGUGCGAAAGCAGGUCAUAGUGAUCCGGUGGUUCUGAAUGGAAGGGCCAUCGCUCAACGGAUAAAAGGUACUCCGGGGAUAACAGGCUGAUACCGCCCAAGAGUUCAUAUCGACGGCGGUGUUUGGCACCUCGAUGUCGGCUCAUCACAUCCUGGGGCUGAAGUAGGUCCCAAGGGUAUGGCUGUUCGCCAUUUAAAGUGGUACGCGAGCUGGGUUUAGAACGUCGUGAGACAGUUCGGUCCCUAUCUGCCGUGGGCGCUGGAGAACUGAGGGGGGCUGCUCCUAGUACGAGAGGACCGGAGUGGACGCAUCACUGGUGUUCGGGUUGUCAUGCCAAUGGCACUGCCCGGUAGCUAAAUGCGGAAGAGAUAAGUGCUGAAAGCAUCUAAGCACGAAACUUGCCCCGA